AACGUAGGUCACAAGCGUUGUCCGGAAUUACUGGGUGUAAAGGGAGCGCAGGCGGGAAGACAAGUUGGAAGUGAAAUCCAUGGGCUUAACCCAUGAACUGCUUUCAAAACUGUUUUUCUUGAGUAGUGCAGAGGUAGGCGGAAUUCCCGGUGUAGCGGUGGAAUGCGUAGAUAUCGGGAGGAACACCAGUGGCGAAGGCGGCCUACUGGGCACCAACUGACGCUGAGGCUCGAAAGUGUGGGUAGCAAACAGG
rnacentral:rRNA from 2 species